GAGAAACCCAGGGAUACUGGUGUGUAUUCUCUGCCUAGCAACGUGUGCCGGGGCAAAACCAUACUUGAAAAAUGGAGGAGAUUAUAUACAGGACAAAAAGGUAAUAUCAAAUUACGAGAUGUUUCUCAAGAAAGCUUCGGAGGAAACGGGUAUUCAACAAAGCCACUGGAAUAUGCCUUUUAUACAAGAAUGGUUUUAUGACAUGUUUACAUCGAAAAACAAACAUGUUCAACCGACAGACGAGUCGCUUUCUUUUGUUUCGUCGGAUAUUCUCUGCGCCUACUACCAAUCUAUAGGUGACUGCGCAUCCGUUGCAAUAUAUUGCGUAAACACGGACUGUCUCUGAGAGUUUUUAAAGCUUAACAAAAAUCAAAGAUUCGUAUUGAUCGUCUUUGCCAAUUUAUGUACAUGAAUUUAAACAAACCAACCAGUCGUAAACGUUUUUAUUUUCCUGAGUUGUUAUAUAAUCUUAACCUCUUUCAACGAGUUUUCUACUGAGUUUUAUUAUGCAUCUGCUUUAGCAAGAUCAGGUAUAAUGAUUGCCUACAUUUUAGAAUGUUCAAUAAAGGCAAUAACAAUAAAGUAUUUCCCAAAUUGUUACAUGUUAUAAUCAAAUAACCAAUGAAAGUGAAUUAAAUUAGUAACAAUAUGCAAACAGUGCUUCAUUGUAAACUAAAACUAGUUUUAGUUAAUUCUCAAUGUGAAAUUUCCAUUAUUGCAAUGCAACGAUGUAUAUUAUAUUGGAUAUAUACCUGUUUGUUAUUUACCUCAAUCAAUGCUCAUAUUUGAUAUACUAGAAUUUGAAAUAAA